rnacentral:rRNA from 1 species
CGGAGGAUCCGAGCGUUAUCCGGAUUUAUUGGGUUUAAAGGGUGCGCAGGCGGGAGAUUAAGUCGGCGGUGAAAUUUUGCAGCUCAACUAGUAAAAGUGCCUUCGAAACUAGGUUUCCUUGAGUGUGGAUGAAGUAGGCGGAAUUUGUGGUGUAGCGGUGAAAUGCAUAGAUAUCACGAGGAACUCCGAUUGCGCAGGCAGCUUACUAAACCAUAACUGACGCUCAGGCACGAAGGCGUGGGGAUCAAACAGGAUUAGAUACCCUGGUA